rnacentral:tRNA from 1 species
GCCCUGGUAGCUCAGCAGGUAGAUAGACGCCUAAAGCGUCUGGCUGUUAUGCAGAAGGUCGACGGUUCGAGUCCGUCCCGGGGCG